rnacentral:rRNA from 1 species
UUGAUCUCAAAUCAGGUAGGACUACCCGCUGAACUUAAGCAUAUCAAUA